rnacentral:tRNA from 1 species
CCCAGCGUGGUCGAGUGGUCUAAGGCGCCAGACUCAAUCGGGAGCUUUUUGAGAAUUCUGGUCCCUGAAUGAGGGCGUGGGUUCGAAUCCCACCGCUGGGA